rnacentral:tRNA from 1 species
GCCCCGGUAGCUCAGUUGGAUAGAGCAGCCGCCUCCUAAGCGGCAGGUCGGACGUUCAAAUCGUCUCCGGGGCACCA